rnacentral:rRNA from 1 species
CCUACGGGUGGCAGCAGGGGGGAAUAUUGCACAAUGGGGGAAACCCUGAUGCAGCGACGCCGCGUGAGUGAAGAAGUAUUUCGGUAUGUAAAGCUCUAUCAGCAGGGAAGAAAAUGACGGUACCUGACUAAGAAGCCCCGGCUAACGACGUGCCAGCAGCCGCGGUAAUACGUAGGGGGCAAGCGUUAUCCGGAUUUACUGGGUGUAAAGGGAGCGUAGGCGGCAAGGGAAGCCAGAAGUGAAAGCCCGCGGCUCAACUGCGGGACUGCUUUUGGAACUCUCUAGCUAGAUUGCAGGAGAGGUAAGUUGACUUCCUUGUGUAGCUGUGCACUGCGUCGCUAUUAGGCGGCACCCCAGUGGCGAAGGCGGCUUCCUGGACUGUAACUGCCGCUGAGGCUCGAAAGCGUGGGGCGCAAACAGGAUUAGAUACCCGGGUAGUC